rnacentral:rRNA from 1 species
UACUUGAAGCAGCGGUUCACUCGGAUCAGGAGUCGAGGAAGCACGCUGCAAAUUGUGCGACAUCGUGUGAUCUGCAGGACACAUAGACAUCAUGAUCUUCUAUACAUAUCACAGUCCAUGCUGUAAGGUACUUUAUUCAAUUUUGAGGUACUACUUGGAUUACAUAUGGUUGAGCGUUC